CUACGUGCCAGCAGCCGCGGUAAUACGGAAGGUUCGGGCGUUAUCCGGAUUUAUUGGGUUUAAAGGGAGCGUAGGCCGGAGAUUAAGUGUGUUGUGAAAUGUAGACGCUCAACGUCUGACUUGCAGCGCAUACUGGUUUCCUUGAGUACGCACAACGUUGGCGGAAUUCGUCGUGUAGCGGUGAAAUGCUUAGAUAUGACGAAGAACUCCGAUUGCGAAGGCAGCUGACGGGAGCGCAACUGACGCUGAAGCUCGAAGGUGCGGGUAUCGAACAGGAUUAGAUACCCUGGUAGUCCGCACAGUAAACGAUGGAUGCCCGCUGUUAGCGCCUGGCGUUAGCGGCUAAGCGAAAGCAUUAAGCAUCCCACCUGGGGAGUACGCCGGCAACGGUGAAACUCAAAGGAAUUGACGGGGGCCCGCACAAGCGGAGGAACAUGUGGUUUAAUUCGAUGAUACGCGAGGAACCUUACCCGGGCUUGAAUUGCAGAGGAAUUAUUUAGAGAUA
rnacentral:rRNA from 1 species